AAAUACUUCCAGGGGAGCCUGCCUAAGCAGGCUGAGAGUGGGAUGUGUUUCCCUGACCCUCAUAACCUGAUUUGGGUAAUGCCAACGUAGGGAUGGUUCCGGUUAAACUUU
rnacentral:ncRNA from 2 species